GACUGGAUGGUGGAAUGGAUAACACGUCUACUCAGAUUGAGUGGUAGCUCAGGGAUUAUCCAGUAGAAGAUGCCUGUUCGAAUCAGGCUCGAGUCG